CAACAGUCUUGUAUAAAGUACUUGAAAGAAAUACUUAAGUAAAAGUGUCUUAGCAGAAAAAGACUUUGGUAGAAGUUAAACCGAGCUAACACUUUUU